GACGAACGCUGGCGGCGUGCCUAAUACAUGCAAGUUGAGCGCUGAAGGUUGGUACUUGUACCAACUGGAUGAGCAGCGAACGGGUGAGUAACGCGUGGGGAAUCUGCCUUUGAGCGGGGGACAACAUUUGGAAACGAAUGCUAAUACCGCAUAAAAACUUUAAACACAAGUUUUAAGUUUGAAAGAUGCAAUUGCAUCACUCAAAGAUGAUCCCGCGUUGUAUUAGCUAGUUGGUGAGGUAAAGGCUCACCAAGGCGAUGAUACAUAGCCGACCUGAGAGGGUGAUCGGCCACAUUGGGACUGAGACACGGCCCAAACUCCUACGGGAGGCAGCAGUAGGGAAUCUUCGGCAAUGGACGAAAGUCUGACCGAGCAACGCCGCGUGAGAGAAGAAGGUUUUCGGAUCGUAAAACUCUGUUGGUAGAGAAGAACGUUGGUGAGAGUGGAAAGCUCAUCAAGUGACGGUAACUACCCAGAAAGGGACGGCUAACUACGUG
rnacentral:rRNA from 1 species